GCACACACCCGUGAGGGUCUGUGUGUUUGGCGGAGUAAAGAGGCAAGUGGUAGUCUUUACCUUUUCGACGGUCGAUUGCGUAAAGAUAGAUAUCGGCGGCGAAUUCGUCUCCGCUUAUCAAUUCAUCGAAUACAGUCCACGAGGCAAUGGAUACGACCACGCAAUCAAAUUGCAGAAUAUUAUUGUCUUAAAGAUAAUUGGGUUUGAGCUGUCGAAGUGUUCGAAUUUCUGUCAUGCAAAUGCAAAAUAUUUAUGGUUUGGUAUAUGAGUCAUCUCCACGAGCUAAAGUAUAAAGGAGCAGAUCCUGCGCGGGCAUGAGUGGUAGCGUCGCCACAUCAAGGACAAUUGGAAAAGCAAGCGAAACCUUUAUAGCCUGGCCUAAUAGCGCAGCCACACUGAGAGAACCAACAUGACGAAUCUCACUGAAAGAAUAAAUAAUGCCUGCGCAGACACUCAAGGCUUCCGCCAGCGUAGUAUCAACUCGCCAUGCUUAGAUUAGAAAGCUGUAAGUUAGUUAGAAUAAUAUAGCCUAUUAGACAGUGACCGCCGCCCUCAUCGGUACAUGUAGAGUACGUGAGAAAUGUCAAAAGACCUUCAUACCCUUUGCCCUUGUAAUCUCUAUAAAUACCCAUGUAUUCCUCUGUAAUGCUCUCUGGCAAUUAUAAUAGAAACAGUCAUAUUUACCUUAA